rnacentral:lncRNA from 1 species
AGAAGUGAGCAUCAGGUGGUGGCGAGCGCGUAGACAGGGUGAAAGGUGUGAGGGUUAGCGACAGAUCUGCGUAUUCACCUUGCUGGUCACCGGCCACCACCACCUCGGCGCCAAUGAAUUUUCUGUCGCGAGCCCCGCUAACGGCUUGCCGCUGAAAACUCUGGGAAAUGUAGUUAGGCGCGAGCAAGCUGUCGUUAGUUGCAGGUCUGAGGCGGGAACCGGGGCUCCUCAUGUGUUCGCGGCUCGGUUCAGCCUUCCACGAAGAGUGGGAGAGUGAAAGGACCAGCCAUGUAAAGGUGCUUACCACCGAGCCGGACAGCCUGACGUCAGAGUCAAUCCCCAGCACCCACACACGGAACAAAGCAAGAGCUCCUGAAGUUCUGCCAUUCCCCGUGGUCUGCAGUUCAGGAAGCUUCUGGAACAUGCGGCGCCUCUGCCAUGGAAACACGAUCCGCGUCGUCAGCUUCAGAUGUGAUCUUGGAACGCUGAGUUCGCCUUGGCAGCUGUCUGAAAGUUAAUCCUGUGAAGGGACCUGAAGCAGCCCUCUGAGGAAGCCUCGCGCACCCCUGCCGAAGAACAUCGCAGUGUGUUCAUUCCCCUUCCGUUGGCCUCAGGAUCCAAGCAGGAAAGAAGAGGGAAGAACUCUGAAGGACAUGAGAGGGACCCAGCUUACAGUCCAGGGUUCCCAGACUGCCCUUUGAGAAUAAAAUAGGAGGCCAGAACCAAAGUCUUUUGGAUAAAACACCGCGACUGACCACACACUAACCCAUUUGGCUGCCCUCCUUCCCAAGGCACAGAUCAUCCCAGCAUGUGAAGGCCUCCUUCUCUCCCUCCCUCCUUCCCUUCUGACCCAUUUUCACUCUUCCACCACACAAUCAAAAAUAAAUAAAUAAAUGAAAAAAAAGCUCUCU